GAGCAACUUCAGCCUGUAACCAGCUAGCUUUCUAGAUGUAGAAGUAGCUUCGUAAUGGUGUAAUGCGCCAUGCAAACCUUUCAACAACCAUUCCAGUAUGUUCCCAGUCACCUGGAAUUACAAAUAGAAUCUACAUUAUCAUGAAGAAAAUUAUACGCAGUAUGCAUCGGAGGCAGAAAAUUUAUUCAAGCUCUGAAGUCCCAAACAACUGAAAAUGCUCCAAAACACCAUCACGUGACCCUGGUAUUCUCAAAGUGCUGGUGAAAGUGUUUGUUUUGUAGGCCUAAAUGUUUGUUGAUAGUAGAGAGGCUGAUUGAUAGACUUUAUAACAAGUCAUUAUCAACAUUCCCCAACUGUUAGUUAAUUACACUGCAGACACUACAUCUGCCUAUGAGCAAUGGACAGAACUGAGAAUACCAUAUCAUGAACCGUAGUGAACACUGCUAGCAACAUCCUGUUUUAUUGGCACACAACAGCAUCCCUCCUGAUCAAGUGAAAAGGAAUCCUAUGACACCGCUUGAUCUUUGUCUGACAUGGAAAUCUGCAAAUCAAAUAAGGUGGAAGAAUAACAUCUGGUUAAAAAAUAUAUCUGCUUUAAAGUGAUGUCAUGAACUGGACGCUGCACUCUUGAUUCCAACACUAAUAUUGUCAUGACCAAAUGUUAAAGUUCAUAUUCAGCAAGUUGAAGAUAACUGACACCAUCUUUAAGUAUAAGUUUCACAAA